rnacentral:rRNA from 1 species
CAUGGCUGUCGUCAGCUCGUGUCGUGAGAUGUUCGGUUAAGUCCGCUAACGAGCGCAACCCUCGCUGUGUGUUACAAGUGUCACACGGAACUGCCGGUCAUAAACCGGAGGAAGGUGGGGAUGACGUCAAGUCAGCAUGGCCUUUAUAUCCUGGGCUACACACACGCUACAAUGGGAAGGGACAAUAGGUUGCGAAGCCGCGAGGCGGAGCCAAUCCAGCAAAACUUCCCUCAGUUCAGAUUGCAGGCUGCAACUCGCCUGCAUGAAGUUGGAGUUGCUAGUAAACGCAGGUCAGCCAUACUGCGUUGAAUACGUUCCCGGGGCUU